GAAAAAAUUCUAUUUGUAUUACAUCGUCAUAAACUUCUAAUUUAUUACAUCAAAUGAUUAAUUUUAAUACGGUAAUUAAUGUCUAUGACCAGGGGAUUCAGUUCCACAUGGCGGCCGUCGACGGUUACGCGCUGGAUUCCUCCUUCCUCUAGCUUCCAGCGGCGGUUGUUGUUCCUCCGGUGGGGAUUCUGGUUCUUCCGAUUCGGCAUCUGGUUGUCGGACUUGGGACGAUGAUCCACCUUCAAAGAAUAGUGUAUGUGGCGGUGUUUGCAUCAUGAACGGCGACGGAGUUUGAAAGCCAUGCGUUGCUGGCGAUUGGUAAAAAGGAGAGCUCCCCGACGGCCCCCCUUGCGACCCCUUGUAACACCCCUUACCCGAGACCGUCACCGGAAUCUAGUACGAGAUGUUAUCCAAUUUAACUUACCAAUUCGGAGCAUAAAAAAAAUUGCUUUUAAAAUUAAAUUCACUGUUCACAACAAAACUGUCUACCUGCGUGACUUCCACUAAUUUAAUUAUAACUCGAGUUACAGAACUCAAAAUUUAAAUCCGUAAAUUUUCCCUGAAACUAGACUCAUAUUAAUACUCACCAUAAAAUUUUCAGAAUUUUUGACUUGACCAAUUAGUACAGUUUAUUCAUUAAAGUAUCCCCUGUUUCACAGCUCGACAGAUCUGACCUCUCGGCACUAAAAAUCAAUUAUCUCUUUGUACAGAAUACAUAUAAGGUUAUCGUUUUUUUCUUUUGAAAAUAGACUCACUAAGAAAUCUACAUAUAUAAAUUAUGACCCAUAAUUCUUUCUGUACAAUUUAUAAUGAUUUUCUAAAGUCAGAACAGGGGACUUCAAAAACCAUUCUGACCCUGUCUCACUAAAAUUCAAAUAUCUAAAAAUACAGAAUUCCUUUUCCUACAUCGUUUCUUUCAUAUAAAAAUAGACUUGAUAAGCUUUAAUUCCAUAUAUAAUUCACUCUCUAAUUCCAUUUCUACUAUUUAUGGUGAAUUUUUACAUUCACGUCACUGCUGCUGUCAAAGAAACUGCUUCUUUGAAUUAGUUACCAUUUACACAUACAUAAUACCAAAACAUAAUCUUUACUAACCAUUUCAAUAUCUAAUCUUAGCCAUAUCAUUUGAACAUGUUCAAGAUGAUUAAGACUCUAUACAUGCCAUAGUUCAAACAUUUUGAAAAGCACAUAAUACCGAGAUGGCUAUGAUAGUGUGAUAC
rnacentral:lncRNA from 1 species